rnacentral:rRNA from 1 species
AGAGUUUGAUCAUGGCUCAGGACGAACGCUGGCGGCGUGCUUAACACAUGUAAGUCGAACGGAGAGGCCCUUCGGGGUACUCGAGUGGCGAACGGGUGAGUAACACGUGGGUGAUCUGCCCUGCACUUCGGGAUAAGCCUGGGAAACUGGGUCUAGUACCGGAUACACCUCAUGGACUGCAUGGUCUGUGGGGGAAAGCUUUUGCGGUGUGGGAUGGGCCCGCGGCCUAUCAGCUUGUUGGUGGGGUGAUGGCCUACCAAGGCGACGACGGGUAGCCGGCCUGAGAGGGUGAUCAGCCACACUGGGACUGAGACACGGCCCAGACUCCUACGGGAGGCAGCAGCCAGGAAUCUUGGGCAAUGGGCGAAAGCCUGACCCAGCAACACCGUGUGGGUGAUGAAGGCCUUCGGGUCGUAAAGCCCUGUUGAUAGGGACGAAGGGCGAAGGGUUAAUAGCCCGGAGCUUGACGGUACCUUUCGAGGAAGCCCCGGCUAACUACGUGCCAGCAGCGGCGGUAAUUC